CCAAUCUAGAGUNUCGGAGAGGAAAGUGGAAUUCCUAGUGUAGCGGUGAAAUGCGUAGAUAUUAGGAAGAACACCAGUGGCGAAGGCGACUUUCUGGACGAAAACUGACGCUGAGGCGCGAAAGCCAGGGGAGCGAACGGGAUUAGAUACCCCGGUAGUCCUGNCCGUAAACGAUGGGUACUAGGUGUAGGAGGUAUCGACNCCUUCUGUGUCGGAGUUAACGCAAUAAGUACCCCGCCUGGGGAGUACGACCGCAAGGUUGAAACUCAAAGGAAUUGACGGGGGCCCGCACAAGCGGUGGAGUAUGUGGUUUAAUUCGACGCAACGCGAAGAACCUUACCAGGUCUUGACAUUGAUGGACAGAACCAGAGAUGGUUCCUCUUCUUCGGAAGCCAGAAAACAGGUGGUGCACGGUUGUCGUCAGCUCGUGUCGUGAGAUGUUGGGUUAAGUCCCGCAACGAGCGCAACCCCUAUCUUAUGUUGCCAGCACGUAAUGGUGGGAACUCAUGAGAGACUGCCGCAGACAAUGCGGAGGAAGGCGGGGAUGACGUCAAAUCAUCAUGCCCCUUAUGACCUGGGCUACACACGUACUACAAUGGGAGUUAAUAGACGGAAGCGAGAUCGCGAGAUGGAGCAAACCCGAGAAACACUCUCUCAGUUCGGAUCGUAGGCUGCAACUCGCCUACGUGAAGUCGGAAUCGCUAGUAAUCGCAGGUCAGCAUACUGCGGUGAAUACGUUCCCGGGCCUUGUACAC
rnacentral:rRNA from 1 species